rnacentral:rRNA from 1 species
AACGGCCGCGGUAUUUUGACCGUGCAAAGGUAGCAUAAUCAUUAGUCUUUUAAUAGGAGGCUGGAAUGAAAGGUUUAACGAAAAAUUAACUGUCUCAUCUUUAUUUUAAAAUUUAACUUUUGAGUUAAAAGGCUUAAAUGCGUUGGGGGACGAGAAGACCCUAUAGAGCUUUACAUCUUUUUUAAUUUAAUCUUUAAAGAUUUAUAAUUAAUUUUAGAUUUUAGAUUUGUUUUGUUGGGGAGACAAAAAAUAUAUAAUUAACUUUUAUUAGAUAAUAUACAUUAAUUUAUGGGUUUUGGGUCCACUUUUAUUGAUCAUUAGAUUAAGUUACCUUAGGGAUAACAGCGUAAUCUUCUUUGGGAGUUCCUAUUUACAAGAAGGCUUGCGACCUCGAUGUUGGAUUAAGAUUAUAAUUAGGUGCAGUAGCUUAAUAUAUAGGUCUGUUCGAC